UACGAAGGGGGCUAGCGUUGUUCGGAAUUAUUGGGCGUAAAGAGCUCGUAGGCGGUUUGUCGCGUCUGCUGUGAAAUCCCGAGGCUCAACCUCGGGCUUGCAGUGGGUACGGGCAGACUAGAGUGCGGUAGGGGAGACUGGAAUUCCUGGUGUAGCGGUGGAAUGCGCAGAUAUCAGGAGGAACACCGAUGGCGAAGGCAGGUCUCUGGGCCGCAACUGACGCUGAGGAGCGAAAGCAUGGGGAGCGAACAGG
rnacentral:rRNA from 1 species